CUGACCUCGUGAUCCGCCCGUCUCGGCCUCCCACAGUGCUGGGAUUACAAGCUUGAGCCACCGCGCCCGGCCUUAUUUCUAUAAGGAAAUAUGUAGCAGUAGGAUUUUUUUUCAGGUCUUUCUGACUCAGGUGAUGGCAGCAGGAUUUUGUUGGAAUGCCCCACACGGGUCAGGAUUUUACUAUGAAUAUACUUGUAUAAUGCCUCUCCCAUGAAGGAGAAAAGAACAUUGAACAUAAGGAGCAAGAAAGUUUAAUGACAAAUGCAAGUUUUCUUUUCCUUCUUCAUUGAGGAUAAAAAGUAAAUUUUCCAAAUCUUAACUAUAUUUUCCAGGAAAGUCUCUUUUAUUCUGCGUUUUCUAGUUUGGAAUUCAAGAUGUAGGAAGCAGUGCUAUCUCACCUUAAAUCACUCCUGUGGGCCUCUGGUAGACCUGGUGUUCACUGGAAACUGAAGUGUCAGCGACUGGAAACGGAGUGACCAUCUCCUCCUGGUCUACCUUCCCAGCUUUAGCACUGACAGUCCCGUGCCCCGGAAACCCCUCAGUCUCAGGCAGCCUGGGGUGGCUGCUGGCCCUGCCGGAAAUCCCCAAGGCUGCAGCCACAGCAAGGCUAGAGAUAGGAGCAGACUCUUUCCACGGGAGAGAAGAAUAGAAACUACCCCGCGGGGUCAUUGGAGGGUGAAGUGAGAAGGUCUGUAUCAAGGACUAACAAGGCCCCUGUCACGUCCAACCCCGUCAAAGGCUCUAGAGGGAGGGCUCACAGCAGCAUGACACAUCACACCCCAAACGGCGCUCUCUUCGGCGGCACAGUUUCAAUGGAAAGUCAAACUCGGAAACUUUACAAACAGGAUCCUAAAUAGGACAUUUGAACACGCCAGUACUUUAGGAUAUGGGCAGUAGAAACAGAAUUGUUUUAAAUCAAGUGAAUUUCUUAGAUUCAUCAGAAGUAUGUGAAUUAGAGUUACAGGACUAUUAAUAAAACAAUUCUAUUCCUCAAUCAUAAGAAUGUGUUUUGAAAUCUUACCGUCUUCAGGAACAGUAUAAUUUGCAUAUUCUGGGAAAUAGUCUUCAAUUUUUGAUUUCCCUGCCAAGACUUUUUCUGCCAGCAUAUCUUGUUUGUUCAAGAA